UACGUAGGGUGCGAGCGUUAAUCGGAAUUACUGGGCGUAAAGCGUAUGCAGGCGGAUCGUUAAGUCGGGGGUGAAAUCCCGAGGCUCAACCUCGGAACUGCCUUCGAUACUGGCGAUCUUGAGUCCGGGAGAGGUGAGUGGAACUCCGAGUGUAGAGGUGAAAUUCGUAGAUAUUCGCAAGAACACCAGUGGCGAAGGCGGCUCACUGGCCCGGUACUGACGCUGAGGUGCGAAAGCGUGGGGAGCAAACAGG
rnacentral:rRNA from 1 species